GAGUUUGAUCGUGGCUCAGAUUGAACGCUGGCGGCAGGCCUAACACAUGCAAGUCGAACGGUAACAGGAAGAAGCUUGCUUCUUUGCUGACGAGUGGCGGACGGGUGAGUAAUGUCUGGGAAACUGCCUGAUGGAGGGGGACAACUACUGGAAACGGUAGCUAAUACCGCAUAACGUCGCAAGACCAAAGAGGGGGACCUUCGGGCCUCUUGCCAUCGGAUGUGCCCAGAUGGGAUUAGCUUGUGGUGGGUAACGCUCACCAAGGCGACGAUCCCUAGCCUGGUCUGAGAGGAUGACCAGCCACACUGGAACUGAGACACGGUCCAGACUCC
rnacentral:rRNA from 1 species